AUUUUAUUGGCUGCAGACACACGCAGCAUCUUCUUGCGCUCCUCCUUGAGGUGGAUGGGCAGCUAGCUGGAGAUGACACAGGAUGAUGCGCAUCUUUCGCACGCUGGCUCCAAGAUCUCCGCUGCCAGAUGCAGCAACAAAGCUUCUUUGUACAGACAGCCCUGGACACACUUCCAGCAGCAAUUCUUCUUGCAGGAACUGGUGCAAGAACAGGAUUUAUUCGUGGCACAGGAGCAGUUGGUGUCCACUGGGAGUGGAGGCAGAAGAGAGACCAGAGCGGUGACUUCAACAGAAGUGGAGUAAAUAAAGAUGAUCACAGAACUUGGAAGCUGACGAAAUUAAUUUUGGAAAAGAGCUGGCUUGGAGCAUGACAGAAGAAUUCGAUGGAAAGAGUGCUGGGAGCCCAACUCAAGACUGAUGUGUGCUUGGCAGGCAGUCUACCCCCGAUCUCAGUCCUCCAGCCUUUCGGCCUUUUUUCCUUUUUGGAGACAGAAUUGCAUCAUAUGGCAUCCUACACAGUCCUGCCUCAGUCUCUGCAGUGCUGGGAUUGUAGGCCUAUGCCACCUAGCCUUUCUACAAUACAAACAAAUAUGAAAAGAAGAGGGACUUCUUUGGAAAGGAGUACAGGGACUAUGGAAGAGAUGAAAAGAUAAUAUUGUCAGAAAUUAUGCCGCUUUUGAAGAGAUAAACUGAACUCUUUUGAUUCUGUGAGGUUAUUAAAGAAUAUUAAUUUUCAAAUCACGGUAAAAUCUUGAUUCAGCAACACAUGAGGAUAAUCAUUGUGUCCAUGGAAACCUUGGGAAGCAGUUGAAAGCCUGGUCCCUCUUGCCUGGAGCAUUAACACAACGUGGCUGCAAAGUUAGUCCUUUCCCGCUACCAUCUCCUGAAUACUGGGACUAACUACACGUAUGCACGAACCUGCCCAUCUUUGCCUCUGUUAACAGCUGCCACUGUCUCUUCACGACAUGAUGGCUGACCUAGGUUGGAAGGAACAGAGCCAGUUGGCCAUGGACUGAAACUUUUGGAACUGUUGGACUACAGUGAUCACUGAGUAGGAGCUUCGUCUUUAAAAUCUGGGGUGUGCUGUUAUGCAAUCUUCUUUCCCUGCCCAGUACUGGAUCUGUGAAAAGCUGAAUCAUGAAUCAGUGAGUGUGCGGAUUGGAACCCAAGUUGCUCUCUGGAUAGAACGAAAGGAGUCGUGCCCCAAGAAGAUGGAGAGGGAAGUUAUGAAAUGCUGUGACCAAAUAACAAAUGCUGAUGUUUGGGGAGAUAAUUGUUUCCCAUAGGAAAUAGAGUGAAUGCGAUGUCUUUCUUUUGUGAGGGAUUCAUAGACCGCUUCUCAACGCUUGUUACAUGUUACUCCUUUUUUCGAGAUUUUUAUUUACCUAACUGGGAAAGAAACCAGAACAAGGUUUUCAUUGAAUUCUGAUACAGGUAUUUAAAGACUUACGGACAAGAUAUAGAAGAAGAAGUGGUAAUUAACUGAUUAAAGAAGUACAGUUUAUAUCCAGUAGACAGACAGGCUCCAGACAUCCUUAGUGCUGUCUUAGCAUCAAAGGUUAAUCUGCCUAAUACUUGUCAUCCUGAAAUGCAUGGUGGAACAUCCAACAGACAAGAGCUACUUCAGGGAAGGACUAUGAUUUUUGUCGUGGAAGACAUUUAACACAGGGCAGCUCCUGUGCACUUACAUGAUAGAUAUUGCUCUUCCGGGGACUCUGAAUGCUCAUCCCACUUUCAGCUCACUAGGCACAUCGAACUAGAAAUUUUAUCAUCUCGUGAAUUAGUCCAAUACCUGAAGGAGCAAGAGAACCAACACCCAGUUGACAAGAAUAUGACCUGUUGAUUGAAGACCAUUAAGAAAGUAACUUGAUUCAGUUGGACUGGACUUUUUUAUUCUAUUGAAAAAGGAAUUUAUUUCCCCUCAGUGAACGUAACAUGAUCAACAUUUUGAAAGUUGUGAACAUGCAUAGUUCUAUAAUUUACAAAAUAAUUAUAAAAAUCUGAGUAUGGAUGCAGCAUAAUUUCAGAACAGAAUAGCCAUCAUACUUUUUAUAUAUCUUAAAUUCGAGUUUUCAAGAGUAUAUUUCUAUGUUAUAUCCUUUGAUUAGUACAAUAUAAAAUCUACAUCUAAUAUGUACUUCAGGUUUUAUUAGAUCAUGCCAUAUUACUGUACAAUUUGGACUUUUCCAUUUUUAUAUAAAAUGUAACAUGCAUUGUANNNNNNNNNNNNNNNNNNNNNNNNNNNNNNAUAUCUUUAGAAUUAAUUUCUGCCAAUUAUUUUCUUUAUUUGAAUACUUGGGGUAUCAUAAAGGUGCUGUUGAGGUAUUCUCAAUAUGCUUGUACAACUUCCUGCCUGUAGUUAAUAAAUGUGGAUAUUUCAUUAAACAAUUGAAAUAUAA
ensembl:lincRNA Ftx Ftx transcript, Xist regulator (non-protein coding)